rnacentral:rRNA from 1 species
UCCUACGGGGGGCAGCAAUUAGGAAUCUUGCGCAAUGGGCGAAAGCCUGACGCAGCGACGUCGCGUGACCGAUGAAGUCUUUCGGGAUGUAAAGGUCUUUUUUGGGGGAAGAAGGAUGUGACGGUACCCCAAGAAUAAGCCCCGGCUAACUACGUGCCAGCAGCCGCGGUAAUACGUAGGGGGCGAGCGUUGUCCGAAUUCACUGGGCGUAAAGCGCGCGUAGGCGGGUUAUUAAGUUGAUGGUGAAAUCCCGGGGCUCAACCUCGGAACUGCCUUCAAAACUGGUAGCCUUGAGGUAUGAAGAGGGAAGUGGAAUUCCAGGUGUAGCGGUGAAAUGCGUAGAUAUCUGGAGGAACACCUGUGGCGAAGGCGGCUUCCUGGUCAUAUCCUGACGCUGAGGUGCGAAAGCCAGGGGAGCGAACGGGAUUAGAUACCCUGGU